CUAGGACCAGCCUUUGAUGGAUUAGGACACGUAAAGUCUGAGCAGAGUGGAUUAGUCAGUAAGGGAGAUUGAGAAGGAAGAACAGCUAGGAGGAAAGCCAGGCGAGUGUAGUGUUCUAGAGGCUGAACCGGGAUGCUUUCAAAUGCGUGUUACUGAAAUCCAUCUUCAAUUGAUUUCAGCUAAAAAAAGACUAAUUUCUUGGCUCUUAUUACCUAAACUCAUGCCUACUCAGACGUGCCUGGAUCCGGUGCUCAAACACGUCCUUGGGAACCUGCCUCUCUCUCCAUCUCUUAGUUCUGCCUUCUUCUGAGUGAGCUUCUUGGCUAAGUGGGCCAUUCCACAUGGUGCCCUGCUCAUGUCACCAGCAGAAGCUUUGGUUUACGUCCUACCCAAGUUUGUAUAGAUCAGAGAAGAGGAGUGAUCACUCUUGCCCACAAGCACCUUCUUGAAGAGCGCCUCCCCAGUAGCAGAGGCCACAGCGAAUCCCUGCCUUUCAUUAGGUGGUGUAAUGAACCCAUCUGCCCAGCGGUGCCUCGGAGCAGCAUCCCCUUACCACGCACAUCUGUUCCUGCGAAUCUGCAGCAAGCAACACCGACCUCUAAGGGAUCGCGGGCGCUGGGGGACUUGUUUUUAUGUCAGCACACAUUUCUCCCCUUCUCCCUGGCUAGCUAUCUCCCUUUGUGUGGGAUAUCAGGGAGAUACAAUAUUCCUGAGCAUUUGGGGACAAUUUUGAAGGGCAGUCCCAUUGACAGGCCUCCUGGCGUGGAUGAAAGAUGACAGCAGGUAUGAAUUUUAUGGAUCAGAUCAAGUGUCUCAUUUACAACACAUUGUCCUUAGAAUGUCACUGCUGCUCACAAAUGUGACUAAUACAGGAAACUGUGAAGAUCGGUUACUGGCAGGAGGAGGCCUGGUUUCUGACUGCAGGCCCCACGCUUCAUUCACAAAGUUGAAAGAGCCACUCUUUAAAUUCAAAGGGAAGGAGCUGCCAUGGAGAACUCAAAUGGCCAAUCUCAGACCCCGCUUGGAGUUGGCAGAAAAUAGCAGGAUCAGACUCCUCUCCUGGUCCCCAACUGAUGACAACUAUUACUGUUGUACGGCUCCUAGGAAUUGACAUACGAAGAUAGUCAUCAGUGGUGUCAAAACAAUGAGGAUCAAAAUAAUCACUGCAUACUGGGGCC
rnacentral:lncRNA from 1 species